GCUGGGCGUGGUGGCUCACGCCUGUAAUCCUAGCAUCUUGGGAGGCUGAGACAGGAGAAUUAUGAGUUCAAAGCCAGCCUCAUCAACUACGUGAGACCCUGUCUCCA
rnacentral:sRNA from 1 species